UUUUCUCAAACGAUGGAGUGAAGUGCGCUUCACAUCGGGCUUAAGUAAACCGCAACAAUAUGAAGAAGUGAACCACAUUACUUUUCUUUUUAUUGAUUUAACAUUUUUCUGCAGUUCACAUUGAAAGUAAGUGGAUCGCAUGGACAGAGCAAGUAAAUUACAUGUAACAAGAAGUGAGCUUCUUUUGAGUUAUUUUUGUAUCCUCUUUGACCAAGUGAACCACAUACUCUUUUAAUUCAUUUUUCAUUAUCACAUUUUGUUGUCACACAUGAUCACAUAGUGAGCUGCAUAAGGAAUAUGAAAAUGCAACAAACUGAAAUAAUAGACUGCAAAAAAGGAGCCAAACUAUGUUCAAAUUUUGAAACGAACUAAUCUUCCAUGCACCCGGCUGCACCAAACUGCAGGUAAACUGGCAGCCAAAUCUGAAAAAAAAAUAGUUUCUUGAGUGCAUGGAGUGGCCGCAAGCAUUAAAAUCAUGGGGAGCCACCGCUCAUGGGCUCAGGAACCUAGUGAAGCUCCAUUCACGCGAGCGUACUGCAUGACACGACUUGCCGAACGGGCCGACGCUAUGCAGGAACUUUUGCAUAUAUUAUAUUCCACGGUUAACUGCAAAACAAAAUAUAGUGAGCUUCAAGGAAAAACAAACGAACUGCAAUAGUUGAGUGCACAUCCACCGGCGAGCAGCGGAGCAAGAUAACAUUGACUGAGAAUGGAUCCGGGGUUCUUUCCCCGGAUCGAUCCCAU
rnacentral:lncRNA from 1 species